UACGAAGGGGGCUAGCGUUGUUCGGAAUCACUGGGCGUAAAGGCGCGUAGGCGGCCGAUCAAGUCGGGGGUGAAAGCCUGUGGCUCAACCACAGAAUUGCCUUCGAUACUGGUUGGCUUGAGACCGGAAGAGGUAAGUGGAACUGCGAGUGUAGAGGUGAAAUUCGUAGAUAUUCGCAAGAACACCAGUGGCGAAGGCGGCUCACUGGCCCGAUACUGACGCUGAGGCACGAAAGCGUGGGGAGCAACAGG
rnacentral:rRNA from 1 species